UAGGGAAUCUUCCGCAAUGGGCGAAAGCCUGACGGAGCAACGCCGCGUGAGUGAUGAAGGUCUUCGGAUCGUAAAACUCUGUUAUUAGGGAAGAACAAAUGUGUAAGUAACUAUGCACGUCUUGACGGUACCUAAUCAGAAAGCCACGGCUAACUACGUGCCAGCAGCCGCGGUAAUACGUAGGUGGCAAGCGUUAUCCGGAAUUAUUGGGCGUAAAGCGCGCGUAGGCGGUUUUUUAAGUCUGAUGUGAAAGCCCACGGCUCAACCGUGGAGGGUCAUUUGAAACUGGAAAACUUGAGUGCAGAAGAGGAAAGUGGAAAUCCAUGUGUAGCGGUGAAAUGCGCAGAGAUAUGGAGGAACACCAGUGGCGAAGGCGACUUUCUGGUCUGUAACUGACGCUGAUGUGCGAAAGCGUGGGGAUCAAACAGG
rnacentral:rRNA from 1 species